AAGAGCGCAUGCGCAACGUUUCCUAGGCAAGAGGACCGAAUCUACAGGUUAGCAUGUUUGACUUUAGUUAAGAAAGAUGCAAUAUUUAUCAUAAGUAUUUAAACAUUUCAGCUUGUAUUUUUAGUGGUGAUAUGACUUACUUAGCUAGCCUUACCUCACCUGCAUAACUAGCUAUGUGACCUAAUAACUUGUUUUUAGCUAAGCUAGUUAAAAAACAAGCUAGCCUGCACCUCAGUAACGUUACUUAGGCUAAACGUUAAAGCUAGCUUGGACUUGGAAGAGUGGCCUCUUUUUCAGUCCUUUCUUUUUGAAAAAAAAGGUCGCCUAUUUAGCUAUUAAAUGUUGAGUUACAAUGUCCAAAAGGGAAUCUUAAUUUAUUAGUGCCAACAUGCAGCUUUACAAUUCACUCACUGACUGGCUAGCUGCCUAAAAACCUUCAGGGUUUUCAAUUUGCAGUAAUAUGGAGAAAAUAUAGUUGCAUCUGGGAAGCUUUCACCCGCACCUGCUAGGAAUUUGUACUUGGAUUGAAUGGUUAAUAAGGAAGGAGCCACAGUUAACCGGUUGGAUGAAGAGGUGACAGGUGCUUUCUUCAGUGUGGAUGAAGUCAACCCUGCAACUUGUCAUCCAGUGAGUCAGGCAGUGCAGCGUCAUCCAGCCGUGAAGCCAUUUGGCAGUGAGGAGGAGUAGAGGGCCAGCUUAAGCUUGGCCUAAUCCAGAAGCAGAGCGUCACUACUGCAUCAGUGUUACCUUUGAUGGGCCCGGAUUAAAGCAAAUCUACAUUCCUUUGGUGGAUUUCAAACGCUGCCUGAACAAUGAUGCCAGCCAGAGGCGAGUUAAUGAGGCCUGCAGUGGACUGGCAGCGAGUGACUUUAAAAUCAACCUGAUUAGGGCCAGAGAUAUUAUCUGUGCACCUCCCUCCUCCUUUUGCUCCUUCGCUCUCACUCUGUGCGUCGGUCUCUCCCUUCCAUCUCACAACUCCACUUUUUUGCCUUUUUUUCCCUCCUUUCAAUAUUCCAAGUCUCUUCAUUUUCUCUCUCUUUCCCCACUCUACUCCUCUUUCUGUCCUCUCUUCCUCUCUCCCCUUUACUCCUGCUCCCCAGUGAGUGAGGCCUGACUUAAUUAGUGGGCUGGAGUGUGAAUGUGCCUUUCACAGGGUGUUAAUGAAAAGCUUUGCGCUUUCCCUUUCAGUGUAUUAGUGACUGACUGCAACCCCCCCCCCCCACACACACACACACCCUCUUUGCCUGCCUCCUCUCCUCCUCCUCCCUCUUCUCCUCCCUCCACUUCUCCUCAGCCCUUCUGACCGGAGGGAGGUGUUAUUACAGGGGCUGUUGACUCUGCGGCUUUAGGUUUUGGGUCUCUGUUGUACUGAGCUGAUAGCUUAAUUAAACAUGCAAAUCGGAUCUAUCGAACACGUCUUAACAACCAUUCUCCGUGUAAGUGUUAUGUCGUGUCAGAUGGCAUUUCUUUGUGUUUGAGCCUUUUUUCUAAAAUCUAAUUAUACAAUACCAGCUCAUGUGAACACACUGUUCCAUCUCAAGGUGAAUUAAAUUCAACAUAUACCUGAUUGAUUUUGGUGAAACAGCAUAUG
ensembl:lncRNA